rnacentral:rRNA from 1 species
UACGUAGGUGGCGAGCGUUGUCCGGAUUUACUGGGCGUAAAGAGCGCGCAGGCGGUCGUACAAGUCGCGUGUGAAAGCCCCCGGCUCAACUGGGGAGGGUCACGCGAUACUGUUCGACUCGAAGGCAGGAGAGGGUAGUGGAAUUCCCGGUGUAGUGGUGAAAUGCGUAGAUAUCGGGAGGAACACCAGUGGCGAAGGCGGUUGCCUGGGGCUUUGCUGACGCUGAUGCGCGAAAGCGUGGGGGAGCGAGUCCGG